CCACUUUAGGUAUCCAUCGCCCUGCCUCUGCUUCUAGGUGAUGUCAAGCUCAGCAUCGCAUCUCCUCAUCAGUUGUGUCACUACCUUGUUGGCAUUUGAGCAAGAAAGGGAAUCACUGAACUCUGACACUUAACACAAGUAAUGAAAGGAGAUUUUUUGACCCCAAAUCUCAGUUUGAAUCUUUGAAGAGCAAAUGAGCUAGAACCUGGAGUAGAAGAUGCCUUCUGCCUCUCAGUGCUCUCUCCCAGCCCAGAACCAGCAAAAUCUGCCUUUGCC